AUUGAACGCUGGCGGCAUGCCUUACACAUGCAAGUCGAACGGUAACGCGGGGCAACCUGGCGACGAGUGGCGAACGGGUGAGUAAUGCAUCGGAACGUGCCUGGUAGUGGGGGAUAACUGCUCGAAAGAGCAGCUAAUACCUCAUACGACCUGAGGGAGAAAGGGGGGGAUCGCAAGACCUCUCGCUAUCCGAGCGGCCGAUGUCGGAUUAGCUAGUUGGUGGGGUAAAGGCCCACCAAGGCGACGAUCCGUAGCUGGUCUGAGAGGACGACCAGCCACACUGGGACUGAGACACGGCCCAGACUCCUACGGGAGGCAGCAGUGGGGAAUUUUGGACAAUGGACGCAAGUCUGAUCCAGCCAUGCCGCGUGCGGGAAGAAGGCCUUCGGGUUGUAAACCGCUUUUGUCAGGGAAGAAAUCUUCUGGGCUAAUACCCUGGGAGGAUGACGGUACCUGAAGAAUAAGCACCGGCUAACUACGUGCCAGCCGCCGCCGUAACAC
rnacentral:rRNA from 1 species